AACGCGAAGAACCUUACCAAAUCUUGACAUCCUUUGAAAACUCUAGAGAUAGAGCCUUCCCCUUCGGGGGACAAAGUGACAGGUGGUGCAUGGUUGUCGUCAGCUCGUGUCGUGAGAUGUUGGGUUAAGUCCCGCAACGAGCGCAACCCUUAAGCUUAGUUGCCAUCAUUAAGUUGGGCACUCUAGGUUGACUGCCGGUGACAAACCGGAGGAAGGUGGGGAUGACGUCAAAUCAUCAUGCCCCUUAUGAUUUGGGCUACACACGUGCUACAAUGGACAAUACAAAGGGCAGCUAAACCGCGAGGUCAUGCAAAUCCCAUAAAGUUGUUCUCAGUUCGGAUUGUAGUCUGCAACUCGACUACAUGAAGCUGGAAUCGCUAGUAAUCGUAGAUCAGCAUGCUACGGUGAAUACGUUCCCGGGUCUUGUACACAC
rnacentral:rRNA from 1 species